rnacentral:misc_RNA from 1 species
GAAAUGUUGCUGCUGCUGGUUGUAGUAGCUGUGGUUCUGGCAACAAUGCUGAUGUGGUUGCACUUUGUGGGUGGCAGCUGACAUUGGAUGCAUUAGAUGCUCUGCGAUCACUAGGGCAAAUUCCAAUUCAAACAGUACAAUCUGAGUCAGCAGCGUCAUUGUACAAGGAUGAUCGUCAAACUCCUGGUCAACAGCUCCUUGGACAGCAUUCUAUGAACAGAAGCCAUGUGCAGCAUUGAUAUUUAAUCAGAAUAGUAAAGCUGGACUCUUGAGGUGAAGUC